UACGUAGGGGCAAGCGUUGUCCGGAAUCAUUGGGCGUAAGCGCGUGUAGGCGGUUCGGUAAGUCGGCUGUGAAAGUCCAGGGCUCAACCCUGGGAUGCCGGUCGAUACUGCCGGACUAGAGUUCGGAAGAGGCGAGUGGAAUUCCCGGUGUAGCGGUGAAAUGCGCAGAUAUCGGGAGGAACACCAAUGGCGAAGGCAGCUCGCUGGGACGUUACUGACGCUGAGACGGCGAAAGC
rnacentral:rRNA from 1 species